ACCGCUUCUCGGCCUUUUGGCUAAGAUCAAGUGUAGUAUCUGUUCUUAUCAGUUUAAUAUCUAUACGUCCUCUGUCUGAGGACAAUAUAUUAAAUGGAUUUUUGGAGCAGGGAGAAGGAUUAGGAGCUUGCUCGGUCCACUCUGUACAUCGACCUGGUAUUGCAGUACCUCUGGGAAUGGUGUACCAGAA